AACAUGUCACCUAAAUCUGGUCACUCUUAUACCCCCAAGGUGCUUUCCUUCAAUUUAUCUUCCGUUUUUGGGUCAAAUUUUUGAUUUUUGAUUUUUGAACCAGGAUUCAAAGAUGGGAUGUCUUGAAUUUGAAUCUGGGAUUUGAAACGUUGAGGCAUUCUUCAGGUAUUUCUGUAUUCUCGAGAGGUUUGAAACUGGGUUUGCAGGCUUGGUGUUCUUGAAAUGUUCUGCCAUUCAGGGUUCUUUAGUGGAAAUAACUAAAUGACACUCCGCGGAUGCUAACUGAUAUUGGUGACGUUCCUGUUCAAAUGGAGUCGAAGAUGACAGACUGAUGAAUGUCAUAAGUGAGUCCGUACGUCAAGCUUGUUAUGGAACAGGUAGGUUAUAAUUUCUACAAGCUUCCAAUUGAAAAAACUACUGCAAGUAUUGAUCUUAGGGAAAAAGAAAACAGCGAUUUUAGAAGAUUUCAUUGGAAAAACUAUUACAAUUCUGCUCUUCUGUUUCCAAAACUCUCCUUGUUCUGUUGGUAGAAUAAGUUGCAUUUAUAGUAAUGCCCAGUUGACUGAAAACUGGAGGAAUUUCUCCUUUUUAAUCACUUAUUUGCUGCAGGCUUAUGAUUAUAUAUCACCAGUUUUGUACUUCUCUGUUUGGUAGAGAUGAAUGUUAUGCUCACCUAGCUUGAUAACUCUGAGACCACCUUUUGCCAUUUGCCUAGGUUAUUUUCUAAAGUUGAAGUUUUAAACCUGAAUUCACCAAAUCUUGAUAGAUCCCUGUUCUUUUUCAUUGUUUCUAAAUUGUUAGUGUAACAUGAUGUGCUUCAAAAGCUUACCCUGGACUGAGUUUGAGCAGCAAUUAGUUCAACUACCAUAUUUUCAUUGCGCAUGACAUGUAGUUAUAUCCCUUUUAUAACCUUGAAAACUUUACCAGUGUGACACAAUUGCUUGCAAUUUUUAAAUACUUUGAAACUCAUUGUUUUUUAGAAGUGUACUUUGAAGCCGAGCUGGUACAAUUCAUAAUGCUUAGAUGUAUAGUACCUUGCCUGCAGUAUGAUGCCAUUUUCAGGCCUCAGAUUUGAACACUUUAGGGAUCCUUUGCCAUAUAUGAGGAUUCCUCAUAGUACCUCUUUUAUCAUCAAA